CAGCGUGUAACUGGCAACCGGCAACCGGCAACUGGCAAGCGAGUUAUUGGCGCAGUCUCGUAAUUGAUAAUAUGGAAUGCAACGCAUUGCGAAGCGAAAUCCAUUACGUCGACGGCCGAAGCUGAGAUCCAGCGGAAAUCAGAGCCGGAUUGAGGGUUCAUAUUGUAUGGAACUGCACCUGGCAUAUCCACCAAUCCAAUUGAAUGGAGUAAAAACUGAUUACGCACGCUUACGUACAGCUCUUACAUAAAUUUGUGGGCCAACCGCAAAAACAGAAAUUGAAUGCUCGCUGUCAAGCUGCCCAAUUGCCCAGAAGCAACAAGGAUGCAUUCAUUUUGAGGCAUCUUUUGGCCUGGGCUCGCUUUUGUAAUUGCAGAUGGUUAGCUGCAAUUGUCUCGCUUCAGCCAAGCACUUUAUAAGCCGAAUAAACCGCAGUCAAAUUGAAUUCUCUGGCCGGCUAACAAAACAAGCGACUGAGGGGCAAGUGGCAGGUGGCAGGCUGCAGAACAGCAAAGGCGAACUUCUUAGGCGGUUUAUAUUCCAAUUCCUGCUGUGUAAUAUCAUAAUUUACGACUUUUUGACAAA